rnacentral:rRNA from 1 species
AUGACGGUCGGCCAUCUCGCCAACGACGCCGUCCUCGGAGGCCACGACGGCACGUGGGAGACAAUAUUGAAAUAUUCUUCUGAAGCCGCAGUUGACACCUAUGAAGAAAUAGCUAUUAUCAUACCAAGAGGACGACGUACUGUUGAGCUUCAUCUUUCAUUUCUGCGACUCCAUGGACAAGCUGAUGAUAUUAAAAUCCAAUAUAGCAGCAUCAUUCGCCUUUUUGUUUUACCAAAGCCAAACAGUCCCCAUACCUUUGCGGUUGUCACUCUUGAUCCGCCAAUCCGUAAAGGCAGAACAUUGUACCCUCACAUUGUCAUUCAGUUUAUGACAGAGGUAAUAGUCAAAACAGAUUUGAAUUUAAGCAGAGAUCUUCUGGCCGGAAAAUACAAAGAUAAGUUGGAGGAAUCUUAUAUGGGUCCAAUACAUGAGGUAUUCACCAAAGUCCUUUGUGGCCUAUCUGGUGCCAAAGUCACAAGGCCGGGUUCUUACAGAACUUGCCAAGGUGAAUAUGCAGUUAAAACAUCUCUGAAAUCUGAACAUAGACUGCUGUAUCCACUUGGAAAAGGUUUCUUCUUUCUGCCAGAGCCCCCUAUGCUCAUCCUUUAUGAAGAGGUUGAGUUUGUUGGGUUUGGAAGUUACCGCCGUGAGGGCGCCGGUAAAUCAGAUUGCUAUUUGGACCUCCUUGUCAAGCGAAAAAAUGGCCAAGAGCAUAUCUUCAGAAAUAUUCAAAGGAAUGAAUACUUUAACCUUUUCAACUUCAUCAAUGGAAAGCAGUUGAAAACAAUGAACCUUGGGGACGAGCAAAGUGAUGAGGAUGAAGAUUUUGGUUCCUUUAUGGGUGGCGGAGGAUCUUCUACUGAUGAUGAUUCUAGCGGGGACGAAUCAGAAUCUAGUGAAAGUGGGGGUGAAAAGGAGGGAGCCAGUAGUGGCGGCGGAGGUUCGAAGAAAAGGAAGUGGAAGAAGAAACACGCGACGUACCGUUGGCACAGGAUGAGCUGGCGAGGGUUCCGUGUCCGAUGA